rnacentral:misc_RNA from 1 species
GUCAGAACUCAUUCUGGUUUUACUUUUACAAAGUCUAGUAUACUGGCGUACGAUAGUCAACAUAUUCAAUACUAGUUUUACUUUCUUGGAUAGGAGGUGAAUGUUUGUGAUAAAAUGCAAGUUAUAAAGAAAACAGAAUGAAGCUUGUCGUACACCAAAAGAACUUCAGCGAGGAUAGUCUUGUUAUCAACCCUAAAGAUUUCCCAACGUUAAAGAAGGGUGAUAUUGUAGAGAUUUAUUUACCAGAGGAUGAAUACAGCCGCUUGCUGUUACAAGUGACAUCAUUCCGUGAAGACUUUCAGCAGAAAGAUGCUAUAAGUGUAGAACAAUCAAUAGCCAACAGCUUUCAGCUUAGAACUUAUGCUGAUGUGAUAGUAAAUCCUGUCAAUCCCAAGAAUGUUGGGUUAGAUUCUUUGGAACUGACAUUCAAGGAUCAGUACUUGGCACGAAGUGAUAUGUGGAGAUUGACACAGUCUUUGGUCAACACAUGUGUGUACCCAAACAAGAAGAUUGAAUUCAGUGGAAUCAGGUGUCAAGUAUAUGAGAUGUGGGCUCAGGGUGAACGAGUUGCGUGUGGAGUUGUAACCAAAGACACAAAAAUUGUUUACCGUUCAGGGAGUAGUAUGGUUUAUCUGUUUAUUCAGAUGAGUUCAGAAAUGUGGGACUUUGAUAUCAAUGGAGAUUUGUAUUUUGAAAAGGCUGUUAAUGGAUUCUUGUCUGAUCUAUUUGCCAAAUGGAAGAAACUGAACUGCAACCAUGAUGUUACAAUUGUGCUUUUUUCAAGAACAUUUUAUGAAGCUCAUAGCAUUGAUGAAUUCCCUAAUUACAUGCGAGAGUGUCUACAGCAAGAUUACAAAGGAAGAUUCUAUGAGGAUUUCUAUAGAGUUGCUGUCCAGAAUGAACGGUAUGAUGAUUGGAAUUCCACAUUGAUUCUUUUAAAGAAGUUGUUCAACCAGUAUCAACAGAUGGUGCUUGAAUACCACCAAAGGGAAGGAGUGAAAAUACCUCAUGCAGUGAACUCUACCUCUUCACAAGGCAACUUUCUGGAAGUGCUAAAUAUGUCCUUGAAUGUUUUUGAAAAACAUUAUGUGGACCGCAGUUUUGACCGGACAGGACAACUAUCAGUUGUAAUAACACCAGGAGUUGGAGUUUUUGAAGUUAAUCGAGACCUUACUAACAUUACAAAACAGAGAAUUAUUGACAAUGGUAUUGGAAGUGAUCUUGUGUGUCUUGGAGAACAGCCACUUCAUGCUGUGCCAUUGUUUAAGUUUCAUAACAAACAACGGCCUCGUAAUUCACUAUCGGCUGUAGAUGACUACAACAUGCCACACUGGAUUAAUUUGAGCUUCUAUUCUUCAACAAAGCAGAUCAGCUAUUCGACAUUCACACCUAGGAUCAAACUUCCUACUCCUCUUCCCAAGGCAGCAAGAGAGAAAACAUUACAAAAUGCUCUGUCAUCCACCCGUGCUCGUCAUGUCAGUCAGCCAGACUCCACAUUUCCAACUUUGUUUGACUAUGAUGAAUAUGAUGAUCAAGUUUUUAAGCUACCAUCUUAUUCUCAAAAUGCAAGUAGGGUUACACACAGUCUACAGAGGGUUCCUGGAAAGAAAAAAGGGAACCGUUCAGUAAAGAACCCUUCUUCAAGACUUGGUAGUGAGGAACCAACAUCUUGUUUUCUCAGUUCUGAACCACCACCAACCACUUCUUUGUUCUCAUCAUCUGCCAUUUUAAUUCCUACACUUGACUCUUCAAGUCUGUCUUCUUCGUAUGGAGCCCAAAAUGCAGAUGUUCCAGACUUAGGCCAUGCUCCUCAUCGACUUCCUUCUAGGGAUGAUAUUGAAACGGAAUUUUCACCUCCAGUGAGGGCAAUUGUAGGAAGUGCUGGGUCAUCCAAAGGUCAUCAUUUGAACAAACAAGUGAUGAACCGCAAACCUAGGGCUUUGGUUAAUCCAUUUGACCCAUCUCAUGUCACAAUCAAGCUUACAUCCAAUCGAAGGCGCUGGACACAUGUGUUUCCACAAGGUCCAACUGGUGUCUUUAUGCAGCAGCAUCAUUACCAAGCUGUACCUCAAAAUACAGCAGCAACAAUGAUGCCUCCCACAGUGGAUGAUGACAUUAUUUUCAGCCAGGAUCAGCUAAGGUUGGCAGCCCUACACAGAGAUCCUCAGUGGAAUAAAACUCUACAAGGACACCAUCACGUAAUAGAAGAAUCAGACAGAAGGAGAGUGUCAACAAAAGCAGCUAGUCAACUUUGUAGUGGAGAAAUUAAUUUAUCCAAUAGUGGUGGAAGUCUCGCAACAUUUGAAGGUAGAUUUCGUACCUCUGGUAUAAGAACAUCAACUUAUGUGUCAUCAGAUUCUCACAUUGACAGAAACUUGACUUUAUUAUGGGGUGCCACAGGAGAGCAGGAGUGGACACCAGCUUUGACCACUGGUGUUGACUGGAAAUCACUUGCCAUUCCAGCUUGCCUGCCCAUUACAACUGAUUAUUUUCCAGAUAAACGAAGUUUGCAGUAUGAUUUUGUUGUUUCUGACUAUUUUCUUCAACCAGAAGAUAUUAGCUCAGAGCUGACUCUCAGAAGAUGUUACAGAGGGGAGGAGGAUACCAAACAUCAUUGUCCAAUAACAGCAGCUCAAGUUUAUAGGGAACUCAUUAGCCAAAGACUGCAACAGGGUUUCCAAGUUAUUGUAAUGCCAAUACACCAUCCUUCAUCCUACCAUGCACAGAGUAAUUUAAGUCCUCAGUUUACUUCAUCACUUGUUUGUGCUAGAGUAAAGAACGACCAAACCGAACAUGAUGAAUGCUUGAUGAGUAUUGGGAGAAUAUUUCACAAGAUGACAUUAGAUGGUCCAACCAUCACUGUCACUCAGUACAGGCCAAGACACCCUUGUUCAACCCGUAAGAGCCAUUACUGCUAUCGAUUCCAAGCACCUGACAAUGACACUUAUGGAGUUUCGUGGGUAGACUUUGCUAGUGAAAAAUUGGAAACUUACAACUGGAACUACCUGGACCAUUACAUAUGUUUGAGAGGAGAAGAUGAGUAUAAACUUAAAGAGGGUCUGAAGCAUUGGAGAUUGAGAUUGUUCUUGCUGCCAAAUGUUAACUGCACCACCAAGAGCAUUACUGAUGACAGUUUUUCAUGUGAUUCAUUCAGUGACCUUAGUAGAGAAGAGGUUCUGCAACAGCAAGAAGGUUUUCUAAAAUUUUUAGAAGUACUUAAUCGAAUUCGUCGACCAGUUUAUUCUCGUAAGUCAAAGAGGUUACAGACACAUGCUCGACGUCUCAGUUUAGGACACUCAAUCUCAUUUAAUACUCAAGUUUCCCAGAAUUCUGUUAGUGGAGGAACAUCAAAUAAUAGUGGCCCCUCUUUCAGAGAGCGAGUGGGCAGCAACCGCAUACAUGAUCGACCACGAAAUGGUUCAAAGGGUGUAGAACGUGGAAGAGUAUCACCUGCUUCAGAAGCUGACAACAAAUUAGGAGGGUCAAACACAUCAUUAGAAGGAACUUCUGAAGGAGUAGAUUCUACAGAUGAAGCGGCUCAAGCAGAUUUAAAACCUUUAAAUGCAAAUUCACCUCAUGCUGAAAUAAUUGAAGCCAUGAAACAUCAAGUGAAUGGUUUGAGUUUCCUCAAUAAGCAGUCUGGUCUACCACCAUAUUCCUUUAUCAGUGGAGAGGCAGUAUUAUGGGUGAUAGAAAACAUAGAGGGCAUUACGUCCCAAGUUCAGGCCAUACAUUUUCUUCUGAAUCUUCAACAAGAAGGCCUUAUUUGUCAUGCUUCAGGAGUUACAACCAUACAAUUUAUUCAUGGUUUUUAUUUGUACUAUUUGGUAUGUCAAGAAAAAGAUCAAACCAAAGUGUCAAACUCUGAACUUCAAGAGGGAGAUAUUCGAUUAUUUCGUGAAGAAUGGCUUGAAGUAGAAUUACUACCAGUUUCUGAGUCGCCACAACAAAUAAUUACUCUUCCAUGGACAGAAAGAGAACAGCCAACCGAUGAAUGGCACAUAACUCAACAUGUAGAGAAAAAAAUUGAGUUUAAGGCCACAAACAUUGACAUUGAUGUUGGUAAGAAAAGUGGUCGAGAAGAAUGGGGACACUUACAUUAUCAUUCUAUCUUCUGUCCAUCUGAGGCCUUUGAAAUCCUUGUCGAGUGGUUGGUUGCAACAGGCAGCAUAUUAGCAGAUCUGGUACAAGGAUGGGCAAGAAAAGCAGUAUCUUAUGGGUAUCAUCUUGUUCCCGUUCCAAGUGAUCCAUUUGCCUUACCAUUUUCCUCAAACUCUGAUCCUUUACGAGGACCCAUCUUCAUUCCUUUUAAUCUUGAUUGCCUCCCUGAUACUGAUUCGCAGUUAUUAGGAGGUGGAGCACUUGAAUUGUUUCAAGAACACAUUUUGAGACGAUUUGGGUUUUUGAUUCAUCGUGACCCUGCAAGUCAAAACUAUUAUGUACACGUAAGCGGUAGUGCUUUUGUUAUGAUUCCUAAUCAAAUUCCAUCAGUGUCUGGUUGUAUUAACAUUAAAAAACGAACACAGAAAUACCAACAACCCAUUUGUAGCCCACAUGAAGAAUAUAUUACAAGGCACUUUAGUGGGAAGAAGAGUCGAUCAUAUGAUGCCAUUUCUAGCCACGAGGCAAAGAUUGGAUUUCUUUGGUCAUACAAUUACAUGGUGACCAAACGUUGGAAGACACAAAACACUGGAGAUGAGCACUUCAUGAAAACACUUAUGAAUGAUUUUCAUGCAUUUUGUAACAAUGAGAAUGGACGACUUCAAGACUGUUGGGAGAACUAUUGGAUGACAGGAUGUCAACAUGUGUUGGGUUUAGAAUAAAGGAAUGGGUAUAUCAUUCUGGCAAGAAAAUAAAGUGAUGCUCCUUAGAGAUGUACAGAAAUUUCGAACUUCCUAGUUUCUCCAAGUGAAACUGACGCAAUCACUGGAUGCACUCCCAUGGACAGUUCAUCAUCACUAUGCCAUGCAACACUAUCUUUACCAUUUCUAUAUAAAUUUAAGAGAACAGAAUUGAAACUGACUUUUUCUUUCUGAAUUUCAUUCAAAUGCUGUUCAACUUUUAGCUGUAUUUCUUUCAGAUCAUCGGGCCACUGUAAAUAAAAAACAAGGUCAGUAAUAAACAAAAUUUGUAUUAACA